UGGUUCUCGCAACGAUGAAGAACGCAGCGAAAUGCGAUACGUAAUGUGAAUUGCAGGUUUUCGUGAAUCAUCGAAUCUUUGAACGCACAUUGCGCCCUCUGGUAUUCCGGAGGGCAUGCCUGUUUGAGCGUCAUUUCUCUCUCAAAACUUCGGUUUUGGUAUUGAGUGAUACUCUCUUCUGGGUUAACUUGAAAUAGUGAAUUUGGCAAGAGUGUGCUUUUGUGGCCUCUUGACUGAGAUAAUGUAUUAGGUUCUACCAACUCGUUAUAGCAGUUUGAGAAAGUCCUCUGGCAUAUAUAGCUCGGCCUAACAACCAUUCUAAAAGUUUGACCUCAAAUCAGGUAGGAUUACCCGCUGA
rnacentral:misc_RNA from 1 species